GCGGCGCGAUCGUUAGCUGCCAUGUUGGAUGGGUAGUAAAAUAGACUGGCAGUGUUUUUCCUCAUUUUUAUUUUGCAAAAUAUCAACUCUUCGAAGUGUGUUUAUUUUGGUUAUAGAAUGCCAUGGCAAAAGUAAUUCCAUCUGAGGACUAUCUUAAUCUUUAGCCAUAUCAACUGAGAAUAGUAUCCAGUGUAAAUAUAUCUGGAAGACGUCGGAGCAGGGGCAGGAGACGGUGAUUUGCACUCCCUACCCCUUCCGUGAACUCAACUGCUGCCAAUAUGGAGAGAUCUGAUUUACUUUAUCAGUCGUCGUUCCUCUUCUAAUUCUAUGCUUUGCUACACAAACAGUAGCAUCAGUUAGGGUGGGGGUUCAUACUAUUCAUUUUUAAAUGUAUUUCUAACCUUUUAUUAUUUUUUUUCUUCAACCAAGAUUGUGAUGCCUUGUAUUAAUAAUGUAUUUCUUUUCACUUGUAAUAUUUCACAUUUCAGCAACAAUUUUUACUUGGUUUUGAAUUUCUUUCUUUAUAUUGAUUUUGUGUUUUCUUUUUUAGAGACUCGGUUAAGAAAAAAAAAUAAUCAUAAAUUCUGUUGUAAUUAUUGUAUCUACAGGGAUCUGGUUCUAUGUUCUCUAUACCCUAAAUAAUGAUUGCUGUUAACAACCACUAUAGUGCUAUUCAUUUCACAAGCAUCUCUGCCUUCUGUUAGAUUUACUACCAUGUCAAUUAUAUUUAAGUCGAGAUAACACAGGCGAAGUUCUUUCUACAACUGUCUCUGCUACAACAUAAUUCUUUUUAAAAAUAUUGUUCCAUAUAUUCAUUUUUGUGCUGCUGUAAUCAGCUAUUCAACUCUCAAAGAGCAAGCAGCCACUUAGCUUCUCCCUCUUCUUUACCGAUAUUUAGCUUCUCCCUCUUCUUUACCGAUAUAUGUGUGAUAUGGUUUCUCCACUUAAAUGGAUAUUCUCCCUAUAUCCUUUCUGAUCUGCGUUUUCCAUGCCGUUUUAUAAUAAAAUGUAUCUCUUAAGUAUUUCAUGUUUUCCAGUUCUCCAUGGUAGUAAUAUAUUUUCUAUUCUGAAGUUGGAUUAAUUUUGUUCUCCUUUCUUGGCCUCUUCUACCAACUAGCUGCCUGUUUUUCUACUUAUGACAUUUGGCUAAUAUACUUCUAGACAUCUCCACGUAAUUGGUAUAGAAAAAGAAUCUGUGAAUGACUAAGCAAUAAUGAAAUAUCUUUAAAUAAAAUUGAAAUGUUUAAGUUCUGCUAUUGCUCAAAACAUUCUGGAUUUCAUUUAUGUUUCAUUUGGCAGCCAGUGUAAUUAGUUGGUAUAUAGCAUGUUUAAGUGUUCGUUACACAUUUUACCUGGAAUUGUGCUCCUUAGACUAGGUAUUAAAUGUUUAUGAAAUCAUUAAGAUUUGUUGGAUCUUU